AUGGAGGCCACGUACAUCUCACCUGCUGCACCAUCCUGGGCGGAGCAGCACGAGGCAAAGAAGGCCAAUGCCGAGUCUCCGCAGCUGAUCGGCGUGCGGAGGCGGCCGUGGGGCAAGUAUGCGGCGGAGAUCCGGGACUCCACGCGCAGCAGUGAGCGCGUGUGGCUGGGCACGUUUGACACCCCGGAGGCCGCCGUGCUGGCCUACGACCAGGCGGCCUACACGUCCCGCGGAACCGCGACCGUGCUCAAUUUCCCGGUGGAGCGAGUCCGGGAGUCGCUGCGCGUGCUGAAGCUCGGCGAAGCCGCGGCCGCGGGGGAGGACGGAGAAAGGUGUGGCAGCUCCCGGUUGUAG
rnacentral:rRNA from 1 species